rnacentral:rRNA from 1 species
UACGGGAGGCAGCAGUGGGGAAUAUUGCACAAUGGGCGCAAGCCUGAUGCAGCCAUGCCGCGUGUAUGAAGAAGGCCUUCGGGUUGUAAAGUACUUUUCAGUCGUGAGGAAGGUGUUAAGGUUAAUAACCUUAGCAAUUGACGUUAGCGACAGAAGAAGCACCGGCUAACUCCGUGCCAGCAGCCGCGGUAAUACGGAGGGUGCGAGCGUUAAUCGGAAUUACUGGGCGUAAAGGGCACGCAGGCGGUUAAUUAAGUUGGAUGUGAAAUCCCCGGGCUUAACCUGGGAAUGGCAUUCAAGACUGGUUAGCUAGAGUCUUGUAGAGGGGGUAGAAUUCCGAUGUGUAGCGGUGAAAUGCGUAGAGAUGUGGAGGAAUACCGGUGGCGAAGGCGGCCCCUGGACAAAGACUGACGCUCAUGUGCGAAAGCGUGGGGAGCAAAC